GACGAACGCUGGCGGCGUGCUUAACACAUGCAAGUCGAACGGAAAGGCCCUGCUUUUGUGGGGUGCUCGAGUGGCGAACGGGUGAGUAACACGUGAGUAACCUGCCCUUGACUUUGGGAUAACUUCAGGAAACUGGGGCUAAUACCGGAUAGGAGCUCCUGCUGCAUGGUGGGGGUUGGAAAGUUUCGGCGGUUGGGGAUGGACUCGCGGCUUAUCAGCUUGUUGGUGGGGUAGUGGCUUACCAAGGCUUUGACGGGUAGCCGGCCUGGGAGGGUGACCGGCCCCAUUGGGACUGGGAUACGGCCCAGACGCCUACGGGAGGCAGCAGUGGGGAAUAUUGCACAAUGCGCGGAAGCCUGAUGCAGCAACGCCGCGUGCGGGAUGACGGCCUUCGGGUUGUAAACCGCUUUCGCCUGUGACGAAGCGUGAGUGACGGUAAUGGGUAAAGAAGCACCGGCUAACUACGU
rnacentral:rRNA from 1 species